GCUGUGGUUAAUGAUGUUCAGUCUUUUUUCCCCGUCUUAUCGACCAUGGUGACUUAUUGUUGAAAUUAAGCCAACAUUGUCUGAAACCACAUU